rnacentral:rRNA from 1 species
CCUACGGGAGGCAGCAGUGAGAAAUAUUGGGCAAUGGGCGAGAGCCUGAACCAGCCAAGUCGCGGGAGGGAAGACGGUCCGAUGGAGGGUAAACCUCUUUUGCCGGGGAGCAAAAAGCGGUACGUGUACCGCAUCGAGUGUACCCGGCGAAAAAGCAUCGGCUAACUCCGUGCCAGCAGCCGCGGUAAUACGGAGGAUGCGAGCGUUAUCCGGAUUUAUUGGGUUAAAAGGGUGCGCAGGCGGCGGGUUAAGUCAGCGGUAAAAUUUCGGGGCCCAACCCCGACAAGCCGUUGAAACUGGCUUGCUAGAGUGGGCGAGAAGUAUGCGGAAUGCGUUGUGUAGCGGUGAACUGCAUAGAUAUCACGCAGAACUCCGAUUGCGAAGGCAGCCUACCGGCGCCCAACUGACGCUCAGGCACGAAAGCGUGGGUAUCGAACAGGAUUAGCUCCCCUAGUAGCC